rnacentral:rRNA from 1 species
AUUGAACGCUGGCGGCAGGCCUAACACAUGCAAGUCGAACGAGUGGCGGACGGGUGAGUAAUGUCUGGGAAACUGCCUGAUGGAGGGGGAUAACUACUGGAAACGGUAGCUAAUACCGCAUACCAUCAGAUGUGCCCAGAUGGGAUUAGCUUGUUGGUGGGGUAACGGCUCACCAAGGCGACGAUACCCAGCUGGUCUGAUCGGAUGACCAGCAACACUGGAACUGAAACACGGUCCAGACUCCUACGGAAGGCAGCAGUGGGGAAUAUUGCACAAUGGGCGCAAGCCUGAUGCAGCCAUGCCGCGUGUAUGAAGAAGACCUUCGGGUUGUAAAGUACUUUCAGCGGGGAGGCGUUAACCGCAGAAGAAGCGCCGGCUAACUCCGUACCAGCAGCCGCGGUAAUAC